rnacentral:tRNA from 1 species
UAAAAGGUCGGGAUAGCUCAGUUGGUAGAG